rnacentral:rRNA from 1 species
CUCAGGACGAACGCUGGCGGCGUGCCUAACACAUGCAAGUCGAACGAAGCAUAGUAAUAUGCUUAGUGGCGGACGGGUGAGUAACGCGUGAACAAUCUGCCCUGUACAAAGGAAUAGCCUCGGGAAACUGGGAUUAAAACCAUAUAACACUUUAGUACCGCAUAGUACAGAAGUCAAAUUGAUUAAGAGGUAUAGGAUGAGUUCGCGUCUGAUUAGCUAGUUGGUAAGGUAACGGCUUACCAAGGCGACGAUCAGUAGCCGGCCUGAGAGGGUGAACGGCCACACUGGAACUGAGACACGGUCCAGACUCCUACGGGAGGCAGCAGUGGGGAAUAUUGCACAAUGGAGGAAACUCUGAUUGCAGCGACGCCGCGUGAGUGAAGAAGGUCUUCGGAUCGUAAAACUCUGUCCUUGGUGAAGAUAAUGACGGUAGCCAAGGAGGAAGCCCCGGCUAACUACGUGCCAGCCGCCGC